GCCGGCGUAGCAUAGUGGUAGUGCUCCUGAUUUGUAAUCAGGCGGUCGGGAGUUCGAAUCUCCCCGUCGGCU
rnacentral:tRNA from 2 species